rnacentral:SRP_RNA from 1 species
GCCGGGCGUGGUGGCGUGAGCCUGUAGUCCUUCCUACCCUGGAGGCCAAAGUGGGAGGAUUGCUUGCAUCCAGGAUUUCUGGGCUGCAGUGCCCUAUGCUGAUCAGAUGUCUACACUAAGUUCAGCACCAACGUGGUGACCUCUCAGGAGGGCACAGUGAACCACCAGGUUGCCUAAGGAGGGGUGAACCAGCCCACAUCAGAAACGGAGCUGGUCAAAACUCCCAUGCUGAUCAAAUGGGUCACCAAGGGGGGCUUUUAUAUACAAAAAAUUACUACAUCUCAGCCAGGUUGAGAUCAGCCUAU